UGAUUUUGGACUUCUGGGAUCCAGAACUAGACAGGGUCUCACUGUGUUGCCCAGGCUGGUCUCAAAUUCUAUCUCAAGGGAUCCUCCCACCUCGGCCUCCCAAAGUGCUGGGAUUGCAGGCACAAGCCACUGCACCCAGCAGAAAUUCUUAAGGAGGCAAGGCCAACACAGUCCAUUCAUUCAACAUCAUGGCACCUUAGUGGCCUCUUUUUAAGACUCCUCAGGUUUCAGAUAGAUUUUAUCACACAAGACAAGCAAAUGAACCACAGAAUUUUGAAGUUAGAGGUAAUUAGGGCAAUGAUCUUAGUCAGCCCCCACACAGUUUGGGACACGUAGGUUCAGGACUGCCCACCCUGGAGCUGGUUCUGUAAGAUACCUAAACAACUUCUGAAAGAGAAAAAAGUCUUUGUCUCAGUUUCUGCUCUCCAGAGGUAACACAAAGAGGUAAGGAACCCAGUGAAAAAGACAGAGAAAAGUAUGGACAAAAAACAGAUCCUAAACCUGUUUUGUUUUGUUUUAUUUUUGGUAGUAGUUGUUUAUUUUUGAAAACAUUCAAACCCCCCGUAUUGGUGGCUGUUAUUAUGAGAUAAAUAAACUGAGAAACAACAAGACAAUUUGGUCUCUACAAUUUGUUUAGUUUUGACUAAAUAUUUGCCUUGGAAGAAGUAUGUGUACAAUAUUCAUUUUAAAAGAUACAACAGUCACCUCGUUACUUGGAGUUUUACUUGAGGCUUGAAUGAGACUGAAACCACCUGGACACGACUAGAAGAUACAUCAAGGAACAGAAAGGCAACAUAUUGAAUCUCUUGGGAGAAACUCAUCCUGUAUCUGCUCGAUUGAAAACAUGAGGGUGCACAUUCCAAGCUGCAUAUGCUCAGGUCCGAGUUUCCAAGGAAACAAGGGAAUGCUCAUCUAUCUACAAAACUGAACUGAUGAAUCACUUUCAGCUUGUUACAAAUCUUGAUUCUGAAUCAAACUCCAGUGUGCAGUCUAAAAA